GGAACAAGUGUAAACACAUUCAAUUCACUCCCAAAACCUCUAAUUCAAUCCUCUUCUUGACUCCAUUAUUCACAAUUUUUUUUUUCAUUUUUCUGUAUUUAUUUUUUUCUUUUUUUUUUCAUCUUGUCUGUUUUCUUUUUUUCUCUAUGAAGAACACAAAUGUUUGAGACAAGAUAUAUAACAUAUUUACAAAACAAAAACAAGAAGAGGAACCAACUAGCC
rnacentral:lncRNA from 1 species